GGAGACAGUGUCCUACGGGUGACUAACCGCUGGUAACUUGCCUUUAAGUUCGCAAUAUCUCAGGGAAACUUGAGCUAAUACCGAAUGAGCUCUUCCGGGCACCCAUUUAUCGCCUUUAGAGCGGCCCGCGUCCGAUUACUUACUUUGGUGAGCGUAUAGGCUCAUCACUGCGACGAUCUGUAGCUGGUCUGAUAGCAUGAUCACCCUCAUUGGAACUGAAACACGACCCAAACUCCUACGGCAGGCACCGGUGCGGACUCUUGCGCCAUGGGCCAACGCCUGACUUCAUCCAUGCCGACGUGAAUGAUUAAUGUCUUAUGAUUGUAAGAUUCUUUCACCUGUUACGAUUAUGACUGUACUCUGAUAAUAAGCCCCGGCUAACUUCUUGCCAACAACCGCGGUAAUACUAACGGUGCUAGCGUUGCUCGAAAUUACUGUGCCUAAAGGGACCGUACGCGGAUAUUUAAGUCAGGUGUGAAAUCCCGGGGCUCAACCUCGGAAUUGCCUUUGAUACUGGGUGUCUUGAGUAUGACAGAGGUGUGUGCUUCUCCCUGUGUAUAGGUGUAAUUCGUAUAUAUUCUGAAGAGCACCAGUGAAGUACGCGUCCACUGUCUCAUUACUGACUCUGAUGCUCGAAAGCGUGUGGAGCAACAGGAUUAGAUACUCUGGUAAUCCUCGCCCUCAACAAUGAUUGCUAUGCUGUCGGGGAUACAUGCCAUUUUCUAUGACGCAUCUCUACGCAAUAAUCAAUCCGCCUGGGGGAGUACCUGGCGCCUGAAUAUCCACUCCUACGAAUUUGACGGUGAACCCCCUCGAGAAGGUGGGUUCCUGUUGGU
rnacentral:rRNA from 1 species